GUGGGGAAUAUUGGACAAUGGGGGGAACCCUGAUCCAGCCAUGCCGCGUGUGUGAAGAAGGCCUUUUGGUUGUAAAGCACUUUAAGCGAGGAGGAGGCUACCGAGAUUAAUACUCUUGGAUAGUGGACGUUACUCGCAGAAUAAGCACCGGCUAACUCUGUGCCAGCAGCCGCGGUAAUACAGAGGGUGCAAGCGUUAAUCGGAUUUACUGGGCGUAAAGCGCGCGUAGGUGGCCAAUUAAGUCAAAUGUGAAAUCCCCGAGCUUAACGUGGGAAUUGCAUUCGAUACUGGUUGGCUAGAGUAUGGGAGAGGAUGGUAGAAUUCCAGGUGUAGCGGUGAAAUGCGUAGAGAUCUGGAGGAAUACCGAUGGCGAAGGCAGCCAUCUGGCCUAAUACUGACACUGAGGUGCGAAAGCAUGGGGAGCAAACAGGAUUAGAUACCCGGGUAGUCC
rnacentral:rRNA from 1 species